UGGGGAAUCUUGGACAAUGGGGGCAACCCUGAUCCAGCCAUGCCGCGUGAGUGAUGAAGGCCUUAGGGUCGUAAAGCUCUUUCGCCUGUGAAGAUAAUGACGGUAGCAGGUAAAGAAACCCCGGCUAACUCCGUGCCAGCAGCCGCGGUAAUACGGAGGGGGUUAGCGUUGUUCGGAAUUACUGGGCGUAAAGCGCACGUAGGCGGACCAGAAAGUUGGGGGUGAAAUCCCGGGGGCUCAACCCUGGAACUGCCUCCAAAACUAUUGGUCUAGAGUUCGAGAGAGGUGAGUGGAAUUCCAAGUGUAGAGGUGAAAUUCGUAGAUAUUUGGAGGAACACCAGUGGCGAAGGCGGCUCACUGGCUCGAUACUGACGCUGAGGUGCGAAAGUGUGGGGAGCAAACAGGAUUAGAUACCCUGGUAGUCCACACCGUAAACGAUGAAUGCCAGUCGUCGGGUAGCAUGCUAUUCGGUGACACACCUAACGGAUUAAGCAUUCCGCCUGGGGAGUACGGUCGCAGAUUAAAA
rnacentral:rRNA from 1 species